rnacentral:rRNA from 1 species
UACGGAGGAUGCAAGCGUUAUCCGGAAUUAUUGGGCGUAAAGCGUCCGCAGGUGGCACUUCAAGUCUGCUGUCAAAGCCCGGGGCUUAACCCUGGAAAGGCAGUGGAAACUGAAGCGCUAGAGUGUGGCAGGGGUAGAGGGAAUUCCCGGUGUAGCGGUGAAAUGCGUAGAGAUCGGGAAGAACAUCGGUGGCGAAAGCGCUCUACUGGGCCAUAACUGACACUCAGGGACGAAAGCUAGGGGAGCGAAUGGG